GGUUUAAAAAUAACCGUACCAAAGACAGUAGGUGGAGCAAUCCGUAAUUCCUACCGAGGACGAAGAUUAUCGAUUAAAUAUGAUAUUUUUGUACUCUCUAUGUCUUGGGCAAAGAGUUUUCUUUUUGCCCGA
rfam:Streptococcus sp. DF1 DF1_Contig10, whole genome shotgun sequence.